rnacentral:lncRNA from 1 species
GAUUUGUGCGUGCAUAGUUUGGCAUAUCAUGACAGGCAGCAACAGCUGCUGGAGUAUGCAGUGCACUCUGAUGAUGAAACCUGGCUGGCCUGAUUUACACAAGCGUCUGCAGCGGAGUCACAGGAAGUACCUCCAUGUGGAUUUUCUGGGGACUUGACAUUGGAGGCAUGGAGGCCUCUGAGGCUCUAAAAAAACACCCCAGGCCCAUCUUUUGGAAGUGGGCGGAGGGUCUAAAAUAAAAUCAGCUGUCACUGUCUGCUCGUUGGACAGAGGCGAACACAUAGUACCAGAGCUGGUCUCUAGCGCUGACUUGGAUUUUGCCUUUGGCUUGGAGAGACCCUGCAGGUCGGGGGUGCACUGGCCUUGGUGUGGGAUUUCUACCUGCUGAGUUCAUAUUUUUUAUAAUUCUUCAUCCUUCGUACCUGCUGCUGGCAGCGCAGGUUUGAAACCAGGACAGGACUUCCUGAAAGAGAUUUUUAACCAGAGGAACCGGAUUCACUCUGUGGACUCAGAGGCCAUCCCACUGACCAACUGUGAGGCCAUGUACCAGGCAGCUGUCUCCAAGAGGGCCGACCACAACAUCCCCAGCGGGGUCAUGGAGGAGUCGGAGGUCUGUUCCCUGCCUGGGGGACUUGCCAGUGUGAGGAGACAAUUUGAGACCCGGGAAGCUGCAACCUCACACAAUGUAACCCAGUUCCACUUUCAUCACAGAACUGUGCAGGUACACAUGUGGAGCAAGGCUGUACAGGCGAAGAGCAUGAGCGAGAUGACCGUGGUUGUAUGACCACCCCACAUUUAGCUUUCCAUCUGCUUCACUGCACGAGGUGCUUUGCAAGUAAACACUUACUGCACCAAUACCAGAGAAAAGUGUGUGGGUUUAGGUUGGAGACGUUGCUUGACACAUCUAACAUCUUUCUUGAACACUUCCAGGGUGCUUUCUCAACGCUUAUAUUGCAGCUGAAUUCAGUUUGAAUUUAACAAAGCCAUGGAAGAGAAUGUCUUUGCACCAGUGCUGUGUGAGUGAGCCCUCCAUCUGUGAUUAGUCAUUUCAAACUGCGGCGGGCAAUCUGGUCCAGCAUCUUCUCUGCAUGGUGUUCAGUUGUGUGCCAUUAAGAUUUGGCUGGUGGAGUAAAUUGUAGUGGAAUCAGUUCACAUCCGUGGCUGUGAGAGGACUGGCGAUGAGUUAGGAAAAAAAAAAAAGAGAGUGGUCUGUUUGCUCGCGUGGCAGGCGCUAAUUUCUCACUGUGCUCAAAAACCACUGUCUUCAUCUUCACAGGAAACAUCAAACUCAGAGGUGACGGUGUCGAGCAGCAGCAGGCAGGUCCUCCCAGGCAGUCAGCAGCUACAUUUCAACCAAGAAGCGACGGUAUUGAACAUUUUCUGAAGGCUAUGUUCCUGCAGGCAGUGGGACAAGGCCUCGCUAACGAGCUUAACACUUUAAUUGUUGAGUAAAAGCAACAACUGAUUGCAAUCAGUCAGAUCUAUGUAUUAAAUGUUUGUGUAAUACUCUCUGUCAGACUGGACUGAGAUUGAAAACAUUAAAUUAAUGUCUGUAUUUCUAUUGUAUUAAUAUAUUUCUGUUGUUUCUCAUUUUCAAAUACAUAGAUGUCAUACGGCGACAGCAACCUGGAAUCAAGUUUUGAAAACCAUCAGAAUGAAACAGGUAAGAUUUUGUUAACAUAUUUAUAUUCUCUCCCAUGCACACCGACACUGAGGCCUGCCUUUGUACUUCUGUCUGUGCCGACUUUUAGAAGAGGAGGAGUUUCCCAGGUACACUACAAAAGAACUGAGGGAUCGCUUUGAAAGAACAAUAGAGGAGGCUGCUCCACAAAAACCAGUGAGGGUAAGCAUCUACGUUUCACUUGAGUUGGACAAAAGUAUUGAAGCUAUGAAAGAAAGAGAUAUUUAAUUUAGGAUAUUUAAAACUGUAUUAGGUUUAAUUUGAUGAGGUAAAUACUGGUUAUUUGUUAAAGUUGUAAUCCUUAAGAUUUUAAUCCUGGUUGAUUCAAUUGCAUGUGUGAUUAAAUAUUACAGCAAAUACUCCUUCUACAAUUGAUGGACGAAUGGGUUUUUCGACCCAUUCUCAUUGAAUUUUGUACAAAUACGGCCAACUUGAAUGCAGGUGAUCAAUCCAAUCCUUCCCUUUCAUUGAUCCACAAGUUUCCUGAGGAGGUCACUGGGGAGGUGAAAUGGUUAUAGAUGAUAAUGUGGGCACUUGGUGGAACUAGCAAAAGCAAUACAAUAUCAUCUUAAAAUGGACACAGGAGGCACUUUCAGGGCUUUAGAAGUGAUUGCUAAGUGGACUAAGAAACGAUAAUAGUGUAAGUAGCAUUCAACCAAUAAAGUUGCUAACCUUUAUCUUCAUGAAUGAAUGAUACGCUGCACCAGUCGGUCUAAUAAAAAGGAAUAGCAUUAUGUUUCAGUGAAAAAGGCCAGUUCUGGUUAAGUGACGGGAUCCAGUGGAAGUUGCAAUACAAUUUGCACAAGGUUUAAUAGGGGUUGGGACUCAGGUGGAAAUGAAGAGCAGAUGCAUAACCAGGUGACCUUCAUCCGCAUUGUAACAAAAUGACCACAUAAAGGGCACAGUUUUGUUCGGUUUAGGCGUGAAACUACCGGGUUAAGAGAAGGAAAAGAUGAUGUAACGUGUGAAAUAGGUCA